AGAGAGAGAUGAAAGAGAGAGGGAGAAAGGUGUAGAGAGAGAGGUGUAGAGAGAGAGAUGAAAGAGAGAGGGAGAAAGGUGUAGAGAGAGAGGUGUAGAGAGAGAGAUGAAAGAGAGAGGGAGAAAGGUGUAGAGAGAGAGGUGUAGAGAGAGAGAUGAAAGAGAGAGGGAGAAAGGUGUAGAGAGAGAGGUGUAGAGAGAGAGAUGAAAGAGAGAGGGAGAAAGGUGUAGAGAGAGAGGUGUAGAGAGAGAGAUGAAAGAGAGAGGGAGAAAGGUAUAGAGAGAGAGGUGUAGAGAGAGAGUUGUAGAGAGAGAGAUGAAAGAGAGAGGGAGAAAGGUGUAGAGAGAGAGGUGUAGAGAGGUGUAGAGAGAGAGAUGAAAGAGAGAGGGAGAAAGGUGUAGAGAGAGAGGUGUAGAGAGAGAGAUGAAAGAGAGAGGGAGAAAGGUGUAGAGAGAGAGGUGUAGAGAGAGAGAUGAAAGAGAGAGGGAGAAAGGUGUAGAGAGAGAGGUGUAGAGAGAGAGAUGAAAGAGAGAGGGAGAAAGGUGUAGAGAGAGAGGUGUAGAGAGAGAGAUGAAAGAGAGAGGGAGAAAGGUGUAGAGAGAGAGGUGUAGAGAGAGAGAUGAAAGAGAGAGGGAGAAAGGUGUAGAGAGAGAGGUGUAGAGAGAGAGAUGAAAGAGAGAGGGAGAAAGGUGUAGAGAGAGAGGUGUAGAGAGAGAGAUGAAAGAGAGAGGGAGAAAGGUGUAGAGAGAGAGGUGUAGAAAGAGAGUUGUAGAGAGAGAGAUGAAAGAGAGAGGGAGAAAGGUGUAGAGAGAGAGGUGUAGAGAGAGAGUUGUAGAGAGAGAGAUGAAAGAGAGAGGG